UAGGCAAUGGGUUGUCAUGUUCAUGUC
rnacentral:piRNA from 1 species